CGAACCGGGUCGACGAGGCCGUGUCGCUUUUCAACGCCAUCAGGAAGGAAGGAAUGCCGCACCCUUACGCCUACAACUCGAUCAUCAGCGCUCUCAUCAAGUCGGGCAAGGUGAACGAAGGACAGGCCGUGUACCAGGAGAUGACUCGCUGGUGGAAGCCCGAUCGCGUCACCUACAACGCACUGCUCAAUGGGAUGAUCGGAGCAAACAGGAUGGACAGAGCUCACUUUUAUUACCUGGAGAUGACCGGCAGGGGCUACGUUCCUCCCGUGUCCAUACUUCACAAGCUCGCCGACGACCGACUCAAGGACAUGCCGGCUCCUGCUUCGCGGCCUUGUUCUUCGUCUCGUUCUUGAGCAAGCUUGAUACUCGGUGUUCUUGGCUGUGAUGUCCCUCGGAUGGAUCCAGAUAGUAGUACGUAUACAUUUUUGUAAAUUACAAGCUUUAGCAAGAACUUAUGUGCUUACCAGUAGCUGCGAUGUUGCCAAGCCAUUGCUAUAGAGACAAACUCCAAGAGAACGCUAAGCUAGCUAGCUUUGGCUAGAAAGAAAAGGAAAGAAUAAUAGUCUUGCCUGAGGGAGAGAGAGAGAGAGAGAGACAGAGAGAGCUCACUUUCAUUACCUGGAGAUGGCCACCAAGAGCUUCUCUUCUCUGUUUCUCGAGCUGGCUAGAUUUUUAUUACACUUGGAGCACUCCUAAAGCAGCCGGGCACUGAAGUAGGCAUUGACGAACACUACCGAGGCUGCAAUGCUGAUUGCUAGUAGCAAUCCAGACGGUAUGGGCUGUCGAGUUGCUGCCAGACGAAUGCCUGUGUAGUAGAUCUAGAAUUUGUAAGUCCUUUCUAGCAAAGUGAGAGUGAUUACCAAAAACUGCGAUGAAAAGAAAUGCCACGCCGAAUCCUAUGGCAUUGGCGAGGUCUUUGGUGUCGGGGUUGAGCAUCAAAAGAUACGCCUGAAAGAAGAUCCAAGGAGAUAAGCGAGCUAUAGAUCAUGAGCUAGCUAUGGCUAGACAGAUUUGCUUACCACCGCGAAUGCGAUGCCGCCAGUGAGGCCACCCACAAGAGAUCCCUUGCUGCCAGUUCUCGAGUCUGCAAAGAAGAAAGAAUUAUAUCCUUGCCAAAUGCAAGAGCUCGCAUUGCAAAGACUCACAGGCAAAGAAUCCGCCACUGAGAAGCGUCAAUCCAUACGCCGCCGCCGUCGCUGGCGCAAUCUCCUCCAGCCCCGCCCUGCAUCGCAGCACAUCGAUCCUCCUCUUCCUGCCAUUGCUUCUGCCAACGCGGAGAUCUGUGACGCCUCCCACCCUCGCAUUGCCAAUCUUGAGGCUGCUCGAGCUCGCAUUGCCGAUCCUGCGCGGAGAAAGCCCGAUCUUCACGUCGAUUGCCCUAGACGGAGCUCUUAGCCCUAGAAUCGCCUCCAUAGCCAAACUCCCACGCGAUGCUCGCUCCUUCGGACACAAUGCACAAACAUGUGGCAGUGACACGUGGCUUCGGCCGAUUCAGCCGGCGCCCAGCUUAGGGCUGACGAAGUCCACGUGGCUUCUCGAGAUUCGUCCAGCGGAUGCGCGUAAAACCGCCAGAGGGGAGUUUAAUGGCGCGCUAGAGCCCUGGAUCUUCGCCACACGAUCGAGGCGAGCUCCAGCUUCUCAAGCUCGAUCCAAGCGCACAAGCUGGGAGAUCAUCGCCCGGUAGGGUAUUUCGAUGAGGUUUUGUGGAUCCGGCCGCCGGCAUUGAUCCAAGAAGCUGGGAUUUCCAGCGAGGAGACCGCUAGGGCAGAUCGCCAUGGACGAGUACGAGAUCAUGGAGAGGAACAAGGAGCUGCAAGCGCUCCAGGUGAAGCAAGAGGCAGUGCGAAUGGAAAAUACGCUACUCUCGGAACAUCUAUCGGUAAGUUCUUUCCAGAUUCUAGCUUCGUUGUUCGUGAGUUUUUCCUCUCGUUUCCAGAGGAUUGUGACACGCAAGGGGAGCUUGCAACUUCAUCUGGAAAAGAUGGAAGAAGAAGAAACUGAGAAGGAAGAACAGGAGGCAGCCGAGGCACUACGCCGGAGCUCGAGACGAUCGUUCCGGAUUUUUCACGAUGGUCCUCCGGUGCCAAGAGCCACAGUACGAUUCUUGUCGCCGCCAAAGAUACCUUCGCUCUCGCCACCCAAGCAAAGAGCCGAGGCGCUUCCCAUGAGCACCGAGGAGAAAGUUGAGAUCGCUGACGAAGAAUGCGGACAUCUCACUGAUCAAGUCGAGAAGUUGCGAGCGGAGAACGAUCGCUGCCUCGAUGAUCUUGGUGCUGUUUACAAUGAGGUGAAGCGAGGCAUGAGGGAAACGAAGAAGGAGAAGAACAGCUUCUACAGGGAGGUGAUUCUUUUGUCAGAGAUCAAUCCCGGAAAGGUGAUCUAUGCCGAAGAUGUGUUGAGGUAAUGCUUGUUCUUGGCUUUUCUUUGUCUGAUGGAAUGUGUUUUCUUCCUUUUUUUUCUUUCAGAUAUCUCUAUGACAAGCUGCGAAGAAAGCAAAAUGUGAGAGACAAAUUGCAAGAGAAGAAUGAUUUGCUUCAUAUGGAGAUCAUGGAAGCCGAGCACCAGUUCAGCACGAAAAAGGAUCUCAAGGACAUCUUACAUGCCAUCGACUUCGAUCAGCUUCAGAUCCAAAACGUCCAGCUCCACGCCAGGAUACGGGACAGGACUUACGAGAUCUGGGACCUCAAGAGCGCGGUCAAGAGAACGCUCAAGGUACGAGUGAGAAAAAUCUCUCUCGAAAAAAAUCUCUAGACUGACACCAAACUCGGAUGUCCUGAAUUCCAAGGCUCUGGAGACAACACGGCGGAAGCUUGGUGGCAUUGUGGAUCGGGGGACAAACAUCAAAUGUUUCCUCAAAGAUCGCCAGCCUUUGUUGGAAAGCUUACGAGACAACAUCAGAACGGAGACCUUUCAAAAGGUAUUCUAGCUCAAACUUAUUCCAUCCAAACUUAUCCUUGGUGUUCUCUCUUCUCUUUCGUAGAGCAAGCUUCACGAAUCCGUGGUAGCGCAUAUGCAAGAAGAAGAUGGGCCUCCUCGUCCCACAGCUCUCGACUACAUGCGUUGUAGACAUAACAACGACGAGUUGUCCAAAGAGGUCAAGACUUGGAAGAACAAGGUGAGUGCUCUUCACUCUAGAUUCUAUCAUCUUCACGCUUGAUUUUGACCGAUUUUUCCAGGUUGAGGUAGCGGAACUAACAAACAUCCAGCUCCACAAAAUGCUCAAACAAGCACUCAAGAAUCGCGAAGUCUCGGUUCGGCAAGAAGCAUCAACAGUGGUGGCGGUGUGCUAGCGAAAAUUCUAACUUGUGCUAACAAAGUGUUGGCAUCUUAUUUUAAUUGUGGAGGAUAUUCUAGCUAACAAGCAUCCUAUUUUAGGCGGAGAAUAUUCCCAUCUUAGGGCUUAUGUAGUAAAGAGGGAGGAUGGAAGGCGGCAAAGUCGCGGUGCGCGAUCCAGCGCUGCCGCGAUGGUACUGUCAAAUGUGCAAGCAUCCAUUUGUGAUCUCUGGCGCGGAUGCCUACGCGGAGCGAGUCUCAGGUUAGGGCUGCUGGGUUGUCGAUGGAUGCAUUCCAAGCUCUGCUUUGUUGCAGCUGCCGGCAGUGGGAGCGUCCUAGCUGCGAGCAGAAUGGAUCAAUCGUUCGUGCUCUUGCCGAAGCACAAAGCCGGCUAUCCUCCUCCAAGGCCGCGAGGGGCGAUGAAUUAUCCAACUCCUGGUUAUUAUCCAACCCCAGGUUUGUCUUUUCAGCUCUUGGAUCCUCUCUAGCAAUCAAAAUCGGAUUUUGCAGCUGCUGAGAGCCACCAUGGCGGAAGAACAAUGGAAGAGUCCUUUGUUGUGUUGCCUUCCGCAGCAGCAUCCAUGUAUAGGAACGAUUUGUCUGGCGAAGGCCAGGCUGGAAGCAGUGGAAAUUCCAGUGGCGGAGGAGCACAGCCACAGACAAGUAACGCUAGCUUCAAUGCUAGUGUGAAUGUCUUGACGAGGGUCUUCGAGAUUGCUUCGGCACAAACUCAGGUUUGUGAUGUCUACAUCUCUAUAGUCUGGAUGGGUUUUCUUACAUAGUUCUUUCUGUUCUUAGGUGGAUCAACCCCUGUGCCUCGAAUGCAUGCGUGUUUUGUCUGACGAGAUGGAAAAACAAAUUGAAGAGGUUACCAAGGACAUAAAAGAAUACGAGUCUUGUCUUGAUAGAUUCGAGAAGGAGCAACGGACUUCAGUGAGCGAGGAGGAGUUUACGGUAAAGAGCAUACUUGCAUGACGAUCGAAGUUUACUAAGUUUAUUGUGCUUUUCUUUUCCAGGUUGAAGAAGAAAGAAAGCUUGAAGCGACGAUUGAGCAGCUUGAGCGACAAAAUCUGGAGGUGAAGUUGCAACUGGAAGACUAUGAGCGCAAGUUUAAAGAUCUCGAUGAAUUGGAACAAAGGUAGGCCUGUUUUUUGUCGGAAUGAUCUCUUCUUUCUGAUAAACCUCAUCCAGAUUCUGGCACGACUUCAACAACUUUAAACUUCGGCUCACUGUUCAUCAGGUAAAGAUAAACUUGAAACGUUUGUUUCGUAUUUAUUCUUGCUUACAGGAGGAGAGAGACGCCGUCUUGGCAAAGAUUGACGUUGCAGGUGCACAAUUGACUGCGCUAAAAGCUGCAAACGUUCUGAACGAGGCGUUUUACAUUUGUCACGACGGUGAUUUUGGAACUAUUAACAAUUUCCGGCUUGGUCGCCUUCCAAAUGUUCAUGUAAGACCAUAUUUUUCUGUUUCUUGUUUUGUGAGAUUGUCCCUGUAUCAGGUGGAAUGGGAUGAGAUCAAUGCCGCCUGGGGACAGGCGUGUCUAUUGUUGCACACUAUGGCACAAUAUUGCCAACUCAAUUUUACGUAUGUAGACUUCUUUUUCCUUUUCUUUCUUUUGAAUUGUGUUGCUGCUUGCAGGUAUAGAUUGAUACCCAUGGGAAGUUAUGCCUGUAUUGCUGAUAGCAAAAACACAUACGAGCUGUGAGUUUUCACUUUCGUGUUUUGUGAGUAACUUAUACUCUCUUGUGGCAGCUACGGUCCAGUAAAUCUGUUUUGGAGCACGCACUUUGACAAAGCAAUGGUUUAUUUCCUCGCAUGUCUCAAAGAGUUUGCCGAUUUUGCAAAUGCCAAGGACCGGGCUGCUAGAGUGGCUCCAGGCAAAUGCUUCACGCUACCUUACUUGUAAGUCCUUCGUAUCAACAGCGCUUUUCUGAUCUUGGCAUGUUUUGAAGGAUUGAGAAUGACAAGGUGGAAGGAUUUGCAAUCACUCAAAGCUUCAACCGACCAGAGAAGUGGACAAAGGCUCUCAAAUUUAUGCUGUGUAAUCUGAAAUGGUCAUUGUAUUGGCUUAUAGGGAACACACUAUUUCAACCAACGUCCCCUGUUAGUUCCUCCCUCACAAUCAGUACAUAAGGCGAAAACUACAGAUGUAUAUAAAAUCAGGACAAUAUAUAACAUUCCUUCCAACCUUUUCAUUUUGAAAAUAAGUACUAUCCUACCUCAUUUAGGGUUCAUACUCAGUGUUCAUGGCUCAACUUGGCGAACAGCGCGUUGGCGAUCGAGGCAAGCCGACUUUGAUCCUUGAUCUCGAUGGGACUUUGAUAGCUACUUCGAGGCAAGCUAGCUUACAUGCGUGUUUCGACUUCGUGGUGGAGUUUGAUUCCGAGGAGCAGCCCGUUUGGGUGUCCAAGCGACCAGGGCUGGAGGAUUUCCUUCGGCAAGCCUCAGAGAUUUACGAGGUGGUGGUGUUUAGCCUCGGAAGGAAAUCCUAUGUGGAGAAGAUGAGGGAGGCGAUUGAUCCCAGUGGAUUAUUUGUGGCAACAUGGCUUGCUCGGGACUCUUGCAGCGGGAGCUCGGAGAUCAAGGACUACAAGGACUUGAACAGUCCAAAGCUUGGGAGGGAGUUGCGGAAGGUGGUGUGGGUGGACGAUUUCCGGGACUCGUUCAAGAUGAAUCUCGAGAGCGGGAUCGUGGUGCCCAUGUUUCGGAACAGCAGCAGGGAUGACGAUCGCGUCUUGUUUGAUUUGCUGCCGCUGCUCAAGAGAAUUGCCGGCGAGGAUGAUUUGAGGCCUGCUCUGCUCGCGUUGCCCCUGCCAACGCUAGAAUCCAACCUUGCAAAGGCGAUCAGUCGCCCAAAGCUUACAAGUUAAAAGGAUGAAUCUCGUGAUUUAGCUAAGUGAUCUUCGAGAAUACUUUAUAAUAGUUUAUUGAAUAAAUGAAGGUUUCACAGUUCAUUGCCUGCAUAGAUAGGAUGUUAAAUCAUGAGAUUUCAUCUUAAACAACUCUUCGAAUGUCAAUUUGGAGCUGGAUUCUAUAUAUCAACGAGAUGACAUAUUACUCCAAAACAUGAGACAAAAUAUCAUUAGGAUGUGCGUGCUUCUCUUCCAGCUUAAAUCGAUAGACAAGUUUAAUAGUUACUAUGACGCUUAGUAGUAUUUCUUCUAUGGGGCAUUUCAUUCAAAGUUGAAAGCUUGCAACAAUCUAUCAGAAGGACGAACAUGUUUCUGGCAUGCUCGCAAAUGGCACACGUCGAGGAGAUGAGGAGGAUCUUCGAUGGUAUGCCGGAGCGCCACCUGGUGCCGUGGAAUGCGAUGCUUACUUGCUACACGCAGGGCGAGGAGACGACCACCACUUUUUUAUGACAUGAAUAUGAUGAAUGAACAACAGAAUAUUGGUGAUUCAUGCAUGGUAACUUGUAGAAUUGGAUCCACACUAGUAUACAAGAUGAAAGCUUUAACACAAUUGGAACUACUAUCAGCCAAGAGAUUCAGGUUGCACUGCCCCCCUCAAAACUGUGGGAGAUCCACAGAUGCUUGUCAAAGCUUCCAAUCGCGUGGUAAGUGUUGAGAAUGUUGCGAUUGUUGGAAACACCAAAUACUAUAGGUAUGCUGGUAUAUGUACCAAUACGUAUAUUGGUAAACAAUAUAUCAAUGCUUCAACCGUGGACAAAGGCUCUAAAAUCUAUACUGAAAUGGUCACCGUAUUGGCUUAUAGGGAGGAAAAUCACGUCCCCUGUUAGUUCCUCCCUCACAAUCAGUGGAUAAGGCGAUUGUUGGAAACAACAAACUCCAUCAUCUAGACGUUUGGGUGGGAGACAUUGGAGAUCUUCCUCACGAUGGGCCGAGAUGCUAGAUCCUGGAACGCAUUGAUCGCUGCCAGGGAAACGGUUUGGAGAGCGUGAACAAGCACUUUCUAGUUAAAGUGAGAUUUGUCAUUAUCUCACGUUUUUUAGUAAAGAAGAUAAGGUAACAAGAAAAAAAGUGAAGUUUCUCAUGUGAUUUUUCACAUUAAUGUAUUAUAACAUGGUCAAUGAAAUAAAUAAAUAAAAAAAGUUAAUGCAGAUAUUAAAUGAAUGAACUAUAUAAACACAUAUUAACGAGAGAAUCCCACUUUAAUGAAAAGGAGCUUGCACCGUAAGUUCACAAAUGAGGGAUCUUUGAUGGUAUGCUGGCGUUGUGGAACGAGAUGCUCACUUGCUACACUCGGAAGGAGGAGAUUUUUAACUGAAGGUCGUGACAUGAAGAAUGAACAACAAUAGAAUAGCAGGGUUGACAAUCUAGACUAGUAUAAAAAAUGAAAGCUUAGUAGCAAACUUAGACACAAUGGGAGCUCCAUCGCCUAUCAGCCGAGAGAUUCAGGUUGCACUCCCCCCCUCAAAACUGUGGGAGGCUCUCAAGGAUCCACAGAUGCUUGUCAAAGCUUCCAAUCAGGCCGUGGUGAGCAUUGAAAAUGUUGAUGGCGAUGCUGCCACCGUUGGAAACACUAGGAUGGUCAAGUUCAAUACUGGUGCGUGAUAUUUCUGGGAGAGAUCUUUGUUUGUUUGAUCUUCAUCUUUCUUCUCUUUGGUGUUCUUGGAACUUCAUCUACAGAUCUUGUUCCUUAUCCAUUCAUAAAAGAGGAGCUGACUAUGAUCGAUGAAUCCACUCAUACUAUUGGGGUGAGCGUGAUCGAAGGGGGACUGGUUGGCACGCAAGUGAGUUCUCUCAAAUGGAAACUGACGCUCAAGCCUGAAGGAGAAGGAAGCCUGCUUCUGUGGUCCCUCGAUUACGAACCCAAAGUUCCAGGCACGGAGGAAGUUGACAAGUUUGCCGAUGGCUUCGUUGCUAGCAUCAAGCAAGUCGAGGCCUACGUCCUCUCACUAUAGUUCCAGAAACUCUGGAUCUGAGCUGUGUGUGCUUGUGUUCUUGAAGCUAUAAACUUGGAAAUGCCAAGAACUUGACUGCUGUGAUUUCUUAGAGUGCUUUGCAAUCUAAGCAACAACAGGGAGUAGAAAAAUUAAAAGUGUACCUGCGCAUCAUAGAAAACUUCCGUGUCACCAUGCCGGCUUGGGUUUUGGGAUCUCCCAGCACCGCCACCACGGCGGCCUCGUCUUGGAUAAGCAACACCACGGCCACGUCCAGAAGCUCGAUCCUGUGCUUGUCCUCUCCCUGCAUAGAGUUUCUGUUAGCCGAGCAAGGAAAGCAAAGUUCGAACCUGAGGGAGCAGGAGGUGCUCUAUAGAUAUUCAUAAUGUCAUUCAGCACAAUGUCACAGCCACCCACGCAACCUGCAAGAGAUUGUUAAUUUAGCAGCAUGGGGUUUCCUGAAAAUCAGCUUUCACCUGUGUGAUAAAUGCUGUAUUGUGGUGGUAUCUCUGCUCUCUUGAACUUGAAGUCAAUUUUGUAAACUGGAGCUGGAAUGCACGAGUUGCAAGUGUGUGUAGUGACUGUCGCUUCCAUGACGACGGAGGGUAGCCACACGACAUUUUUACACUGAAAAGAAAAGCACCAUUUUACAAAAGUAAAAAGCCAAGCAAGCAGCAUACCUGUGGAAAGUUGCGACAACCAACCAUAAACUUGCUAUCCUGGUGUAACAAAGUCAGUAGUGGCCUACAAGCAAACGGGAUGAAGAGGAAAAACUCACUGGUCUUCUCUUUAAAACCAUGUCCGCUUCACGACACAUUGGGCACCUUCGAACGAUUCCACCGACUUGCACCGCUUCAGGGACUUGAUUUUGGCUUCUGUUGGAGCGAUCCAAGUAAAAACUAAUGCCAAAGAACGCAUGCUUACCUCUCAAAGAAAAGACCCAUUGCCUCUAUAAGCUUUUGUUGCUGAACUCUAGCCUGGAAAAAAUAAGAAAAAUAAGAAAAUAAAGCAGCAGCUGAAAAGCUUUAAAACCUACAUCGAGAAAGCACGUCUUCAUUUGCUGCAGGCAUGUCUCCAGGACAUUCUCCUUCACCUUUAUUCCGUCGCCCACGGCCUUCAUGUCUCUCUCCAUUAUAGAUCUGAGAUGGGGCUUCCAAAGCUCGUACCUGAAACAAAACUUCUAGAAUGUCUCUCAUCUUGGAAUUGAAUAUAAAGAAACUAGAAAUAUGAAAACCAACCCCAUCGUGUCAUAUCCCAUAACCAGUGCCUCGCCCUGUAAGAUAAUCUCAACUUAGUUGAAAGCACUUUUCCUGGUUGUGCCGCGUACCAAGUUUGUGGGACAAAAGCGUGUCUGCGCAUCUUUGGUAGCGUAGCGCCGGUCCAGCAGCUUUUUUAUGUGAUCAUGCAUAGUAGCAUCCGUUCCAAUUCCCUCCUGGCCGCACAGAGAAUUCAGGUCUUGAAAAUGCUGGAACUAAGAAACCACCUUGUCCAUGAGCGCGAUUAAAUCCGCUUCUGACAAAAGGGGUGGGGGUUGCGUUCUGCCAGCAUCCAGCGUAAGCCUGGUUGGAAUGAACUGCGAAGCAACACACGCAAAGUAAGAAAAUACUCGCAGUCUGAAAAUGUGUACCUGUUGUCCAAGGUCAAAGUUUGGAAGAGUUGAAGCAGCCCAGUUUUCGUAUCUAUAAACUUCCAAGUAAUUUCUCUGAGAUGAAAACGAGCAACACGGUCUCAAUUCCUAGAAACAACGAGAAAGUUUACUUACAGCAGUCACCAUGAGUCCAUUAGCAGAGAACUGUUCCCCAGCAAUGUCAAUCAUGGCUUUUGUUGCGUAUCCUACAGCCGGCUGCGAGACACACGCAAGAAAGUGUCGCACAACAAGCUCAUAUACUGCCUGCAAAGAAAACAAAAUACAGAAAUCAAAGUGACAUUAAUAAAAAAAGCUACCUUGUGAUCGUUCCUCCAUUGUGGUUCUCCAUCCGAAAACCUGGUAGGAUGUAUAGGCGGAUGAGCUUUAUCGUCGUGUCCACCAUUGCUCGGAUGUCUCCACAAAUUCUCUCGAGAGUCAAGAAGGCGAUGGGCAUAAUUUCCCCACACAGGAUGCCUGGUCUGCUCCUCUACCAUGCGCUGCGUAGACAACAUUAUAUCAGCUCAAAGAGACUAGGAACCGAUGCAACACAAACUCGAAGAUCAGUAUUCUCCGAAAAGUAAUCUGUCUCAGUCCGGGGAUAGCUGAUGAAUCCUUGCUGGUAGAGCUCUUCAGCAGCCUGCAAGUUCAAAGGUUGGCGAUUGAUAAACACAAUCCAACAAUACCUUCAUUGUCUCCUGGGACCCAAGGCGUAGAAACCGUGAAGCGCGCUUCACCAGCUCAACAGUAUUCAGUGGAUGCGGUGGAUUUUUACGUGUCUCACGUCCAGUAACAGAGAAAACCUGAAAGAGAAGGUUUGAAGGCUUUCGAGCAUGCUGGAAGGAAGAUAAAUUAACCGUAGCAAGAGGCUCUUCCACGCACAUUUCAUAUAUGGCGACGGCGGCUACAUAGUCGAAAAGAUGGCCACGCCUGCGAAACAUACAAACUCAGCAAGCCUGGGAUUAAAAAAAAUCAUGACUUACGCCCAUUUGAAGGAAGCACUGUCGUUCUCCGACCUGUACACGCAGUUUAUGGUCCAAAAAUCUUCAGGCUGGUGUGCUUGAACUUGCCAAUAUCUUUCAACGACAAAGCCUAGAGUUGGAAACUAGCGCAAAAGUAUGUUGGCUAUUGGACUGGAGAUUAUCAUUUAUCUCGUUACCUGGCACGGACCAUAGCUAAGAAUGGCCUUCUCAUGCUCGUCAAAUGGAAGAACAAAGCGAUCUUUCAAGAGCAUUGUCUGAAAGCGAGUGAAGGAAGCACCUAUACGUAGAUCGAUCUCCUAAGCAUCGGCACGGCUUUCUUUUAGAACUAAAAACGAUAAAGGAAGUUUAAAGCUUAGAGAAAAACCUGGCGCGCGUCCACAGCAUCCGAAAGAUUGCGAUUUGGCCGGUGCAAAUUCUGUGCAGCGUGCUGGAUUUCCCUGCAAAAACUAUGAGUCCCCGAAGGAAAGAUGGAAGUGACAAAAAUCAUACCUCUCGAUAAAUGCUGAGAAGCGAGCUCGUAAGACGUUGAGUCCCCGGUUAACAUUGAGACAGACCUCCACCACUUCGUAGGCAAUGUUCUCUCCUUCUCGAUCGCAAUCGAGCCAAAGAACAAGCCACUGGCAAUUCCUAGCCUGUUCUUCCAGCGUCCGUUUGAUUCCCAGCUUGUCCUAGAGAACAUUUCCCUGCCUGUGAGAAUCCACAUUCUUUCUUUUCCUUUCCUAUCGAAAUCCUUCGUACCUGGGGAACGUAUCUCCUCACUGGCGCCUGGAACAAAUCGGCCGGAUCGCAGUAGUACCAUUUCCGGAAUUGCUCCUCGAAAUCCAGCUCCAUGAGAUGGCCGCUGACAGAGGUCAUUACCAUUCGGCAUGGCUGACCACCGAUCAUGUAGUUGAAAUGGAAGAUCCUGUUGUAGACAGAAUGGCCGCUCAAGCUCCGGCAAUCGCCAUGUGACAAGAUCUGCGCGAUCUCCUUGGCGGCGCUGGGCUUCUCCGCCACAUUCAAAACAUUCACAGCCAUAAACCCUAAAUGUGCAUAACCAAAAACUAAAAUAAAGGUAACGAAGAAGAUGUUCAAUAAGGGAGGGAGAUUCAAGCGCCAAGGACGCGCUAAACGAUGCAAAUCUGAACGAGGUGUUUCACAUUUGGCACAAGGAUGAUUUUGGAACAAUCAACAACUUCCAGCUUGGUUGGAUCGUCUGUGUUUGUGUCGCACACUAUUUGGCAACAAUAUUGUUAACUAAAUUUUAUAUAUAUAGACUUCUUUUACCUCUUUCUGAUUUGUGUUUGAUUUGUGUUGGUUUGCUUGUAAAUAUAAAUAUCAUAUCACUUUCAAUCUAAUGUCAGGUUCACCAGCUCAAACCAAAGACGAUAUAAAAAAUAUCAAUUUGAACAAUUCUCUUAUUCUCUAAGUCCUUUUAUUUUGUUUCUCCAAUCCAAUUUUUUCAUAUGAGUUUGGAGAUAUUAUUUUUUAAGAUAUUGGUUCUGUCUUUGCAAUUGUCAUUCAUUUAACACCAACUUUGUCUAUUUAGACCCAAUCCAUUCUUCCCUUUAAUUAUUAUGAUUUCAAGGGUGUUAAUCACUACCAUUUAGUCUUGUCUAUAAUCUUUUAUCAACAGAGUUGGACAUAUUACAUAGAUAUAUUGAGAAGAUUCCAAAGGUUUAUUUGGUCUUCUCAAUCUCCAAUUAGUGCACUUUUCUUUUGUGUCCAAGGAGAAUAACAACUUAAACAAAUCUCCUAAUCUAUAUUACAACCUAAACAAAGUUAUCAUUCCUAAUAAAUACCCACUUUCAUUGGUCCUUAAGAUAUUAGAAUAUAUUGCAAAUGUGAUUACGGGUAUCAAAAGCUACCUAUCAGCUCUUUUUUAUUCUUCUUUUAUUGCCACGAUGACAAGAGGUCGAUAUUGUUAAACUAUAAUUAGUCUCCUCUCAAAGUAGUUGAGAAACUACUUUUCAUAUAUGCAUUUGGCCAUAGGAGCAUAAGGAUGGAAUUUCUAAAUGCUAUUAUUUAAGCAUAUUUAACUUGGUUAGAGAGAUUUAUUUGUUGGCUUGCACUUACUAAUGUUGGGAACCCCUGCAAUAUUGAACUUGUUUCCUUAAUAUUUACUAUAUAAUAGUUUACUAUAUCUACUAAGACACUCUUACUAUCAUGCCCCAUUUGUUGGUCCCGUUGUGAAACACAAAUCCCUAAGCCCUAAAGUGGAGCAAAAAAGAUGCCACAUGGUAGUGGUCAAAGUGAAAGUCCAACAAAACAUAACAUAUUUGGAUCAAAAUUUCCAAUUUGAAAAGUCGAGAGCGUGAGUGAAACUCUGAACAAAGUGCUCAAGGAAUAAGCACAAAGCAAUUGGUGAAUGAAUUUCUAAAAAUGGACACAAAAAAAACUAACACAUGGAAGUGCCAGGAAUAGAUAGAGUCCGAGAUGGACCCGAGAUGGAAUUUGAGAUGGACCUGAGAUAGAGUCUGAGAUGGAGUCCAAGAUGGAUUCAAGAUGGAAUCUGAGAUGGAGUCUGAUAUGGACCCAAGAUAGAGAGUCUAAGAUGGACCCGAGAUGGAGUCUAAGAUGGACCCAAGAUGGAGUCUGAGAUGGAUCCGAGAUGGAGUCUGAGUUGGACCUGAGAUGAAAUUUGAGAUGGACCCGAGAUAGAGUCCAAUAUAGACCUGAGAUGGAGUCCGAUAUGGACCCAGGACAGAGUCCGAGAUGAAGUCUAAAAUGGACUCAAGAUGGAUAAUUAAGUGUCGAAAUAACACUUGCAAAGAUGGUCCUUAUGAAAGGGGAUGUGAAUACAAGAAGUUGUAUUUAAGUGUGAUGCACCUCAAAAGUAGUUGGGAGGCUAGGGCUUUAUGAGAUGUUGGAUUAACAAGUCCAAAAGCUGGAUGACUUCGCAGAGUUAAGAGAUAGUCCUAAAGGCUUGGAGGAAUCUCGUUUAGAUAGAGGUGUUUUGUACCCUACAAAGGACUGGGAGGAUCAUGAGAUCUAAAUAUGAAAAUAAUAAGUAUCUUAUUGAUGGUAGAAUGUGCUAUGUUAAAGUUGUGAAUAGGAGUUUACAAAAGAAAACAACUUUAGCAAGAAAUUGUGUUUAUGUUGUAAUGCUAACAGAUAGUUAGCAUAAUAAAUGACUACUAUUGCUUUGGCAAAGAUUUAGACACAAGUGGGAAGUGUUAUGAGAGUAGGCUCAUAGAGCUGAUGGUGUGGAGACACCAAAUGUUCCAAGGCAUGAUGCCUUGAGGUCAAAUUGGUUAGUUCAUGAGAAUUUAUUACUAGAGGAAUCCCAAUGAAAAUGGGGUUGGCAUAGCUUAAGCUAGAAGGUGAUUCAAGUGCAUUGACCUAAAUAAUGAUCGAGGUGUAAAAGCACCAAUAAUGAGUUGUAGGAUUUGAUGAUUAUGAAGAAAUUAAGCAAAACAUGGGACAUAAUUAAUUGUAUUGGUGGAAAUUAACUUCCUAACACUACUUGUUAGGAUAAGAAAAUAAUCAGUAAGUGAGUCUCUAAAAAAGGGACACAAAAAGGAUUGAUAUAUGGCAAGUGUCGUGACAUAUAAAAGUGUUAGGAACAAAUCCCAGAAGGAGUCUGAGAUGGAGUUCCAGAAGGAGUCCAAAAUAGAGUCCAAGAUGGACUUGAGAUGAAGUCCGAAAUGAACCUAAGAUGGAGUCUGAGAUAGAAUUUGAUAUGGACCCAAGAUGGAGUCUGAGAUGGAGUCCAAUAUAGACCCAAUAUGGACUCGAGAUGGAGUCCAAGAUGAAGUUUAAUAUAGACUCGAGAUGGAGUUCGAGAUGGACUCGAGGUGGAGUCCGAGACGGAUCUAAGAUGGACAUGAGAUGGAGUUUGAGAUGGACCUAAGAUAGAAUCCGAGAUUGACUCUGAGAUGGACCUAAAAUGGAGACUGAGACUAAGACCGAGAUAGAGACUGAGUCUGAAACCAAGUCUGAGUCUAGUUUAAGGGUGAAAGCCCAAAGUGAUCGUCUCCCAGACCUUGGGAGGUUUGGUGAGCUCCAAAAGUAUAGUAGGGGGAAGACUCUAGUUGUAAGUUCUUGAAUUUAGACUUCUUGGGAGAUUACCUAGCUCAGUAUUAUUUAAACCCAAGAGUACUUAACCCCAAAUAUCCCAAGGCCCUUAAUUAAUUAAAAAAGGGGGUGCACUUUUAUUCAUGGGCCCUUUCCCUCUAUAUUUGAACUUUAACAGAUUGUUUCUCGAGUCGUUCUCUUUGGUUGUUUACAAUCCACUAUACUUCCCUAUAAGUUCACACCCUCGUGAAUGAAAGCUGAGAGCCACAACACUCCCAAGAGCCCCGCUCUAUUGACACUCUACCCCUUGGGUCAAGCCCAGUGGGAGCAAAUUGGACCAGCUAAAUGUCAAUCAACAUGUGGUGUGAUUCCUUUAGCUAACUAAUAGAGUCGGACCUGAGAACUCUCUAAUACCAAAUUGUAAACUCCUGAAUUUGGACUUCUUGGGAGGUCAUAUUAUUCAAACCUUAGGACACUUAACCCCAAAUAUCCCAAGAGCCUUAACUAAUUGGAAAAAGGGGGUACACUUUUAUUUAUAGGCCUUUUCUUUUUAUAUUUAAACCUUAAUGGAUCAUUUCUUGAGUUGUUCUUUUUGGUUGCUUACACUAGUGUGUAAGCCACAAAUUUUUCCUUUCUAAUUUGCCAGCUUACUAUAAAUGACUAAUUUUUCCAUUCUACUUUAGUUACUUAACCGGACCUCCGACCACUUGGAGGAGUCUCAUUCACAACCUCCAUAAGUCCCAUUUAGAAUUGGGGCUUGCUAGCCCCGCGAAUGGCAUCCACGCCACUCAACUUUUGCACUUGGUCCAAGUGCUCCACGUGUCCGAUCCCUUGACAGACACCCCAAGGCACCACCAACAUACCAGCCCGUUACGCUAGGCCAUGCCUAAUCACCUUGGUCACAUCGGUGGUCUAACACCACCUGCAUUGCAAUCCCGUCUCUCCAAGACUGGGCUAUCCGUCCAUGAGUGGUCAUCCCAAAUCCACUCCUUAGCAUCUUUAGGAUGCCCGUAGACAUGGGAAAUAGCCUUCCCCAAUAUCUCCUUUCCGGUCCCCACUAAGUCCCUUCUUGUCCAUGGCCGUGUUCACCAACACUGCCAUUGGAUCAAGGCCCACAGGCCUGACCUCUAAGUCCCAUUAUCCUUUGGGACUUCCUCACCAUGUGACUGUAUCCUUGGUCACUGCACUAAAGGACUGUUCCUCUUCCCUUUCACCGUUUGGGACUUUGGGACAACAUUUCGGAACACUGUGGCCUUACGCAAGCCUCAUGGGUACUCUCCCCGCCUUUCGCCUUUAGGUGCUCUAGCCAUGGGCUUAGAGCGAGGUUCCGUUGAGCCAUGACAGAUAUCCAAGUAGGUAGUGCCACCCACACUUGGGCUGGGAGCAUCGGCCAGUCGAUCUCCCGGGGGAACUAGGGUUGGCUCUUGAACACUUCACCAAGCUACCCCGCUUGUCGGUUUGUGUUCACUCUAGUCUUGGACUCCCCAGUGGGCAGCUCAUCACCCAACACUGGGUCCGGCCUUCCUGGGCCAAACUAGCCUUUCCUGGCCAAACUGGCUCCACUGUAGUCCUCCCCCUACUAUACUUUUGGAGCUCACCAAACCCCCCAAGGUCUGGGAGACGAACGCUUUGGGCUUUCACCCUCUCAGACUCAAACUCGGACUCGGCCUCGGACUCGGACUUGGACUCGGACUCGGACUCAGACUCAGACUCGGACUCGGACUCGGCCUCAGCCUCGGUCUCGGUCUCGGUCCCGAUCUCGGUCUCGGUCCCGGUCUCAGUCUUGGUCCCGGUCUCGACUUCGGACUCCAUCUCGGGUCCAUCUCGGACUCCAUCUCAGACUCCAUCUCGGGUCCAUCUCGGGUCCACCUCGAACUCCAUCUCGGACUCCACCUCAGACUCCAUCUCGGGUCCUUCUCGGACUCCAUCUUGGACUCCAUCUCGGGUCCAUCUUGGGUCCCAUCUCGGGUCCCAUCUCGGGUCCAUCUCGGGUCCAUCUCAGACUCCAUCUCGGACUCCAUCUCGGGUCCAUCUUGGACACUUCCACGUGUCAUGUGUUGGUCCUUUUGGGUCCCUUUUUGGAGCCUCACUUAUUGCUCUCUUUGUGCUUGUUCCUCGAGCACUUCAUUGGGAGUUCCACUCCCGCUCUCGACCUUUCAAGGCGGAGCUUCUAAUCCAAAUGUGUUACGCUCGUUUGGCUUUCGCUUCGGCCACUACCACGUGGUGCCCCUCCGGCUCCACUUUGGGGCCUAGGGAUUUUGUGUCUCACACUUACCUCGUCUAUUCAAUCACCAUUGUUUUGGGCUUAGUUAGGUUCCCUUGCCAAGGUUCCCGCUUAUAGUACUAGCUCCUACUUGGUUUUAGCUACUCACUACACAAAUAACAAGGUGUUACUCAUCCAUUCACGGAUUCCCAAAUUCACUCCUAAUCCCCCUAUAGACUUAAGGUUUGGCUACACUCCCCAUAAGCAUAAGCAGCUAAGCACACCAAGCUUCCAAGUUCUUAACAUCCCUUGAUACUAAGACUUGAUCAUAGGACUCUAAAUCUUAAGCUUUGGGUGUAUCAUUUGCUUCAAGAAUCCAAGGGGAAACACUGUGGCCUAAUGGCAUAGUAUGGGUACCCUUACUCCUGAACUUCCUAGAAAGGGGUGAGGACUAAUAAGCCGCAUGGUACUCAAGUGGGGCAUCACUCUAUAUGAGCCAGGAGCAUUGUAGUUGAUUUCCCUUUUAAGAGUGGAAGCUGCUCUUGAGCACUUUCUUAUGUGUUCUCUCUAGCACCACCCACCGCUCACUCCCACCCGAGGCCCCUAACCCCUAGUCUUAACCUCAAGCUAGUUUGAAAGCACCACUGAAGAUUUCCUUCAAGAUUAGUUUCUAAUCUCACUAUCCUUACUAUACUUUUGGAGCCCCCUACAGCACCCCCCCCCCUUCGUCUUUGUUGGAUAAAUGCUUUGGGCUAUUACCCCACGACUUGUAUUAGUAUUUGAACUUGGUCUUGGACUUGAUCUCGGGCUUGAUCUUGGACUUGACUUUGGACUCGGUCUCAAACUCGAUCUCAGACUUAGUCUUGGACUUGAUUUUAGAUCUCAAAAUUGGUUUUGAACUUGGUCCCAGACUCUAUCUCGAAUUCGGUCUUAGAGUUGAUUUCGGACUCGAUCUCAGACUCGGUCGUAAACUAGGUCUUGGAGUCGGUCUUGGACUUAAUCUCAAACUCAGUCUCAUUCGAUAAAUUCUUUAUCAUUUUGAUUGUGGUUUCAAGGAUCCUUUAGCCUAUGACACCUUGGGGAGUUGACCUCCCUAACCAAGAGCUGAUAAUAGGAUAUAGGUGUCCCACCCCGCCCUAGUAUAGGGUUGGGACUUAAACCUAGCCUUGCUUUAUUAAAGGGUUGGGACUUGAUGUAGCACACUCUAUCUCUCUCCUUUUAAGCCAAUUGGAAAAAGGGCAAUUGCUUGAUGAGAGAGCCUUUAGUGGCUAUUUUUAUCCCCAUUUAUCCCUCAAGGUUCCAAGGAUUCAUGGUGACAGUACAUCCAAAUUGAUCAUAUACACUACACUCACCCCCCCUUCAAAUAUGUUAAUGUCCUCAUUGACUAUUGACUAACAAUACCUAUUGAGCCACAUGGAAUAUUUGGUUUACACAAUUGAAGGAUUGGUAUAUUUAAUGUGGAAAUGGAGGUGCUGGUUCCCCAUGUGAGGCAACUAAUCAUCUACCUGUACUGCAAUCCCACUAUGGAUACUAUUGUCCCUAGAUGCUCCACCAAGAGGAAGGACGUAUGCAUGGAUGCUCAAUACAUACGAUUUCAAAUUUAGAGGUAGAAAUAUACCUUACUUAAGGGUAUACUAUAUUUUUUAAGUAACCACUAAUCAAUGGGAAUGGAACCCGUGCUAUUUCCUUUGAUACCACAUGUAGCACACCCUAUUUCUCUCUUCUUAAGCCAAUUGGAAAAAAGGCAACUGUUUGAUAAAAGAGUCCUUAAUGGUUAUUUUUUCCCCAUUUAACCCUCAAAAUUCCAAGGAUCUGUGGUGAUAAUAUAUCCAAAUCUCAUUCCAUGAUCAUAUGUGCUACACUCGAACCCAACCUCCGUAGUAUACAACUACGGAUUUGACAUCCCUGCAGGGAGUCGGGCAUAGUUACUUAUGGCUGGUCGAUCUAGUUAACCCAUGCUAAUUAGCUUACCUUUGGCACGCCUUUGGGCCCCAACAUAUGAUAUUGUUUAAUUUCACAAAUGGAUACUUUAAUUGAACUUUGUAUAAGUAUAUAGGGUUUUACCUUUACACUAAAUCUCGCAUUCACUAAGUUCUCCUUCAGUUCCCAUAUUGCUUUGCAAUGUGGAAAUCUUUUCCACUUCAUAUAAAACUCCCUCACUUUGUCUUUGUCACUUACUCUUGCAAGAAUUGAGGAUGGCCUCGACCUUGUAUUCCUCUUCCCCUUGGAUAACCUCAAGUAAAGGUCUUACUUGGUCCUUGUGAAGUAAAUUUUCAAAGUACAGUUUAAGUAAGUUCAUGUGGAACAUAAAGUGUAUCUUUCCUAUCUCUUGAGGAAGUUAGAGGUGGUAAGCCACUUUACCAAUUCGAGCCUCAAUCUCAUAAGGCCCGUCAAACUUGCUGUAGUGCAUGUGGUUUUCACCCUUUAUCCUAUAGUGAUUUACCAUAGGAUAACCAUGAAGUAGAACCUAAACCCUUCAUGUGCCAUGUGUCACAUACCACAUGCCACAUGCCAUGUGUCCCCAAGGCCAAUGGAGUGGAACCUGAGUUUCAGGGCCUUAAGCCACUGAAUGAAGGAAUAAGGCCAAACUUCUAAGCAUGAAGCUAAGAAGUGAUAGAAUUGGAGCACAGAGCAACUCUUGAGCAUUCAGCCCAAGGAGCAAAGGGAUAGGAGCACAGAGUGACUUGGAACAGUCUUAAAGUAUAUAACAUCUCAAUGCUAAAACUAACAUGCAAAAUAGAGCCAAAUGGAGUUUGGCGUUACUUUAGCAUAUUAGUGGCCUAACACAAGGAUAUUGGUACUCCACUAGCUAAUAUGGAAUGGAACUUGGGCUUAGACACAAGCUAAACACAAAAUAAAGAUAAGCAUGCAAGCGGGAGCUAAACUAUACCUUAAUUGGUCAGCCAUGCCCAAUUUACCCACUAUUCCUACUAUAUAUUGUGAACCCUCUAGCCAUCCUUAGUACCAGGAGUUAAUCUCUAAGACUAGCUCAAAACUUAUUAAAUCUGGAAUAGUGCUAGAUUAUGAAUUUGGGUAUGGGACAAAUAACAUUGUGUUCAGGACAAUUUCUACAUUUUGUAGAUAUGCCAAUUUAAGACAAUUUCCAUAAAUAACAAUGAGAAUCGAAUGGUACUAAUAUAAAGUGCAUGAUAGUGAGGGUGUUUAGUAGACAUGGUAAGCUAUCAUCUGGCGAUAUUGAGGGACUCUUAAUACACGAGGGUUCUUGUCAAAUCAGUGCAAGAUAGAGCAAAAAAGAACUAAAAGCUAGGCCAACAGCCUAAGGAAAGAAUAUCUAAAAGGACUAGCCAACAGGUAAUUUUUGAUAUCCACAAUCACAUUCGCAACACUCUCCCCCCCUUAAGGAAGAUUAAUAUCCUUGUUGAUGCAUACUUUAGUUUAGAACACCACCAAGAGAAAAACUCCAAAAAAAAUUCACAGUAUUCACACUUUGUGAGAAAUUGUAAGUAAUCAAAAGGAACGACUCGAGAGGUGAUUUAUAAAGGUUUAAAUAUAAAAGGAAAGGGCCCAUGAACAAGAGUGCACCCCUUUUUUCAAUUGGUUAAUGGUUUUAGGAUAUUUAGGGUUAAGUGUCUUUAGGUUUGAAUAGUACUGGGUUGAGACUUCCCGGGAAGUCUAAAUUCAAGGAGCUUACAUUUGUUAUUAAAGUGGUCUUGAGUCCGACUCUAUUGGUUGGCUAGGAAAAUUGCACCACAUAUUGAUUGAUAUCUGGCAAGGGUCCAAUAUGCUCUGGCUGGGUUUGACCCGAAGGGUAGGGUGUCAAGAGAGCGGGGCUCUUGGGAGAGCUGUGGCUCUCAGCUUCCAUUCACAAGGGCGUGAACUUGCAAGGAAAUAUGGUGGAUUAUAAGCAACCAAAGAGAACGACUCAAGAGGCGAUCCAUAAAGGUUUAAAUAUAAAUGGAAAGGGCUUAUAAACAAGAGUGCACCCCCUUUUUCAAUUGGUUAAGAGUCUUGGGAUAUUUGGGGUUAAGCUUCCUUGGGUUUAAAUAAUACUGGGUUGGGUGACCUCUUGGGAAGUCUAAAUUCAAGGAGCUUAUAGAAAUACACCAACUUAAAUGAAUUAGAAGAUAACUUCUUUCUCUAACACAAAUGCGCUACCAAUUUAAACACCUUUUGGCCAUUGCCAACAAGGAAAUAACCAACGGAGUUAGCCACCCUUGCUACUCUAGGUGUCAUCCAGCUUACAAAAGUGUGAUACACCCUUACCUGUAUGGAUAUAGAGAGAGAAGCCAAAGGCCCCAACCUUUAUGAGCAAAAAAACCAAACCUGUUGGUAAAGUUUAGAUAGACUGCUGUAAAUAGGUAUUGAGAGUUGUUUACAAGAUUACACCUUUUUAAAUAAAAUAAUGAACAUCAACAAAGAGGUUGCUGUGAUCAGUUUACAGUAGCUACCCCAUGACUAGAGAUUUCACCAUAUAUACGAAGUGUCGAAGCUAGUUUGUUUAUAUUGGCCAAAACCCAAAAAUCAAUAAAUAGACAAUAAAGACAAUGAUAUCUAAGAGACUAAAUUAUCAGUAAAUAAAUUUUAGAUUAGAACACAAAAGUAUUCCAAGUAAGUUAUCAUCCAAUAAACCAGAAUUAUAGUAUAGGAACCAUCAAGAUCAUUAUAAUUUGGAAAACAUAGGAUUUAACAUCCAAUAAAAUUCAAUAGCAAAUGUAUUAUAGAGAAAACUCAAUAAAGCUUAACUACCAAAGAUUGCAAAUAGCAUAACAAACAACUUACAAAAAACAACUAAAAGAACAUAAAGUAUUAUUGAUAGAUAAAGAAAAUAUUCACGAAUGUAUCACUUAAAAGAAAUAACAUCCAAUUUAAUAGAACCAAUUAUAGCAAUAAUCAAUAGAACAAAAGGAAUGUUGCAAAGACCAACAAACACAAUAUUCAUGCCAAUCUGAUUAGAUCCUAAUCAACAAUACUAAUGAACUUAAGUGUUUUAAGUAAGAGUCAAUAACAUCCUACUGAUGUUUCAAACCCAAAAGACCAAUCCAAAGUAAAUCACAAAGAAUAUGUAGUAAUGUAGAAAGCUAAAAGCUAUCAAAGAGAAUAACUAAUUAUCACGAAAGAUCAUCAAUCAUCUUAUCGAUAGAUAGAUGUAUAAUCAUCAUCGAAGAAAUAAUCCACCCUCCCCCCCCCCCUCUCGAGACACAUGUUCUGGGUGUAAGCUUCUGAAUUUGUACUUCCCAGCCCAGUAUUAUUCAAACCCAAGGACGCUUAACCCUAAAUAUCCCAAGACCCUUAACCAAUUGAAAAAAGGGGUGCACUUUUAUUCAUGGGCCUUUUCUCUCUAUAUUUGAACCCUAUGGAUCAUCUCUUGAGUCAUUCCCUUUGGUUGCUUACAAUCCACCAUGCUUCCCUGCAAGUUCACGCCCUCAUGAACGGAAGCUGAGAGUUGCAACUCUCCCAAGAGCCCCACUCUCUUGACACCCUACCCCUCAGGUCGAGCCCAGUGGGAGCAAACUGGACCAGCCAAAUGUCAAUCAACAUGUGGUGUGAUUCCCCUAACCAACCAACAAAGUCGGACCCAAAACUUGGCUUUGAUACUAAAUGUAAGCUCCUGAAUUUGUACUUUCCGGGAGGUCACCCAGCCCAAUACUAUUCAAACCCAAGGACUCUUAACCCCAAAUAUCCCAAGACCCUUAACCGAUUGGAAAAGGGGGUGCACUCUUGUUCAUGGGCCCUUUCCCUCUAUAUUUGAACCCUAUGGAUCGUCUCUCGAGUCGUUCCCUUUGGUUGCUUACAUUGGGCUUUCACCCCAUGACCUGUAUUAGUAUUCAGACUUGGUCUCGGACUCAAUCUCAGACUUGACUUCAGACUCAGUCUCGAACUCGAUCUUGGACCCAACCUCGGACUCUGUCUCGAACUCAACCUUGGACUCGGUCUCGAACUUGAUUUUGGGUCUCAGACUUGGUCUCGAAUUUGGUCUCGGACUUGGUCUCAAACUUGGUCUCGGAGUCGGUCUCAGACUCGAUCUUCGACUCGGUCUCAUCCGAUGAACUCUUUACCAUUCCAGUCAUGCUUUCAGGGAUCCUUUAGCCUUCAACACCUCGGGGAGUUGGUUCCUUACAACUCCAUCACCCAUAGAAGAAGUUCGAUGCCCACAUCAAACGCCUUUUAUUAAUCCUACGACUUGUUGACCAUAUUUCUAGGGGCAUCCCCCCACUUAGCGGUAUGCCUAAGUUAGCCUCCCUAGCCAAGAGCCUAUGAUAAUGGAAUAUAGGUGUCUCUAUACCCCUCCCCUCACCACGCCCUAGUAUGGGGAUGGGACUUGAACCCAGCUUUGCUUUACUAGAGGGUUGGGAUUUGAACCCAACCUUCGUAGAAUACGUCUACAGAUUCGACAUCCCCACACGAAGUCAAGUAUAGUUCUUUACACUUGUUUGAUUUAGUUAACCUAUGCUAAUUAGCUUAUCUUUAGUGCGCCUUAGAGUCCCAACAUACGACAUUGCUCCAUUUCUCAAAUAGUAUAGGACCUUCAAUAGCUCGCCCAUUGAUGACUUUCCAUAGACUCAUCUUGAUACUCAAGUUGUAAGCGACUAAAUUUUCCAUUCUACUUUAGUCACUUAACCACACCUCCGACCACUUGGAGGAGUCUCAUUCACAACCUCCAUAAGUCCAAUUCAAGACUUGGGACUUGCUAGCCCCGAGAAUGGCAUCCAUGCCACUCAACAUUUGCACUUGGUCCUAGUGCUCCACGUGUCUGAUCCCAUGACCGACACUCAAAGGUACCACCGACAUGGUAGCUUGUUACGCUAAGGCCAUGCCCAAUCACCUUUGCCACACUGGUGGUCCAAUACCACUUGCAUCACAGUCUUGGCUCUCCAAGACUAGGCAAACCAUCCGUGAGUGGUCAUCUCAGAUCCACUCCUUAGCAUCCUUAGGAUGCCCACCGACAAAGGGAAUAGCCUUCCCCAAUAUCCCUCUGUCAGUCCCCACUAAGUCCCUUUCUGCCCUUGUCCGUGUUUGCCAACACUACCACUAGAUUGAGGCCCACAGGCCCGACCACUAAGUCCCACGGUCCUCUGGGACUUCCUCACCACACGACUGUGUCCUUGGUCACUGCCCCAGAGGACUGCUCCUCUUCCUUUCCACAUUCUGGGCCUUUGGGACAACAUUUCGGAACACCGGGGCCUUACGCGAGCCACCUGGGUACUCCCCCCGCCUUCCGCCCUUGGGUGCUCUAGCCAUAGGCUUAGAGCGAGGUUCCGUUGAGCCACGCCUGGUAUCCAAGUAGGUAGUGCCACCCACACUUGGACUGGGAGCAUCGGCCAGUCGAUCUCCCGGGGGAACUAGAGCCGGCUCUUGAACACUUCACCAAGCUACCCAGCUUGUCGGUCCGUGUUCACUCUAGUCUUGGACUUCCCAGUGGUCAACUCAUCACCCAACACUGGGUAUGGCCUUCCUGGGCCAAACUGGCCUUUCCUGGGCCAAACUGGCCCUUCCUGGCCAAACUGGUGUAAGCGACUAAAUUUUCCAUUUUACUUUAGAUGCUCUAUUUCGUUAAAGUGGGAUUUAUUCAGUAAAAUGGGACUAGGUACAAAUUUUCAAGUAUUUGAAAAUGACGUGAAAUUAUAUGUUUUUUGUCCAGGGGCUAGACAUAUCUGGGGCAUGGUGACUAGCGCGGUGACUUUGUGUCCAGACUGAGUCCAUCUGGUUGUAUAAUAAAUCUCAUUGUCAAGGUGAACAAGCCGAAUCUGAAGCUAAAGAAGAGCGAUGGCAUGCGCGCACACACUAUUUGUUUGUUCAUUGAGCGUGUGGUGAGCUUUCCAAGAUGAACGUCAUUCCUAUUAGCCAGACAUAUAACUUAAUGGUGAGAACAUUUAGAUAUUAUUCAAUGUUAUCUUUUUCUAAUGAAUCUAAUUGUGAAGGUGUAGCAAGAGGCAUUGCUAGUCUGGAGAAGUCAUUUAACUCAUUUGACCCUUAGUGUAUUUUCAUGAAACUAAAUAACAUUCAUAUUAUUAAGGAAUUUCUCUAGUACCUUUUAUUUACGACAUAGAGGCUUGCAUUUCUUUCAAAGGUGAUUUAGUAAAAGGCCUGAGGGCACAUGCCAUUCUAUUUCUCAGACCGGUAUUAAGAUAUACUAGUGCAAAGGGAAAAAGGUAUUUGGUGGUCAAGUAAAUGGCAUGAGGGCACACGCCAUUAUAAGCCUAAGCGCUAGUGGACACCUCCUUUUUGGUACUCUCAGCGGUACUAUCAUCCUUCUUUGGGUCAGUUGUUUUGCUUUGGAUUGUUGUCUCUGACGUUACUAGGGCGUUCUCGAUAGUUGUUAAUGUUGCCGUUUGUUCAGAAAAAUGAUCACCUGGAGUAUAGUACGGGGAGUUUGGAAGACUUAUAUAUUCUACAUCUUCACCUAUCUCCUUCUCCAUCUCCUUUUCUACCUCACUUAUAAAUUUUGUGCUUGCCAUGAGAACGGUCUUCACCCUAAAAUAUGGAGUUCGUUGUGUUAUAAAAGGAAACCAACACACACGCUGCAAGGGAAUGAUGGUACAUAAAGCACGUAAGCCCACAAUAUGGGUUUAUGUGCCAUUAAUAUGGGCCACACGCCAUAUUAUUAGAUUUAUGCACGUGUGAUUGGUAAAUGCAUAUGUCACAUCAUCUUUGUUUUACCUCACACACUAUAUCAAGCCUAAUGAACCAUAUCACAUGUGCGCACAUGCUAUAUAUAUGGAGAAGUAUUAUGCAAGGAUAGAAAAAUUCAAUGCAUGAUUGUGGAGAGCAAUGGCAUGAAGCCACAUGCUAAAUAACAUUUUAGAGAAAGAAUUAAAAUAAAAACAUGCAAACAGUACUGAGUGGACCAAGACUUAGAAGUGCACAAUUGAAUGAGGUAUUUCUAAUAAAUAUUUCACUCACCUCAUAUAGGAAUGGCUACCACUCUCAAAUGGCGUAUCGCCUCAUGCCAUCACCUCGCAAUUUGUUAUAACAAUCCGAUGAAUUCAUAUUCGGCUUGUUCACCUUGAACUUUAAGUAAGAUUUGCUAGAACAACUAAGAAUUUAUACUUGUUAUUUGUAUCAUCUCACCUAGGAAUGGCGUAAGGCCACAUGCCAUCAUGCCUCCUCUGAUUCAGAUUCGGAUUGUUCACCUUGAAAUAAAAUACAUUAGAAACUUAGUAAAGGAAUAUUAAUGAAUCUCACCUUGAACCCGGGUUAUGAAUGCUCUUGCUGCAUCUCUUGCAUGGUCUGGCAAGGUGAUGGUGGCACUCUGCUUUCGCAUCCAACCAUGCACAACAUUAUCCACCGAUAUGCUCAUGCUGGGAUCCCUUGGAUUCAACACCCAUCUCUUUUCUAGGCAAUCCUUUGUAUAUUCGGAACUUGGCUUGAACCACUCCACAGUUACAUUGAAGGAGUUAGUUUUCGCGUCCUCCUUUGCAUCAGUGAUGCAGUGCCCCACCCAUAUCAUUUGUUUUUUAUUACUGGGUCUGACAAGCAUGACCAUUCCUUUGCAGACCUGUACUGGAUUGAAUGCUGAAUCCGGCUUCUUGUUCCUCGGCCCACAAUAGUGAUCCUCAACAUCGUUAUCUGUCACUGCAUUUCCAGAGGACAUUGUUCCGCUACUAUCUGGUGCUCUGGGUUCUGGCCAAAAGGACUCUUCCAAUUCUUCAUAUACAACCGGCCCAUUUUGGAUAGCAGAUAUAAUCUUCUCCCAGUAUUCGAUCAAAGGCUUGCACCUCUAAAAAUAAGAUUCUCCACCAAACACCAACCCCCUCCAGAAGGAAAUAUGCUGUCUAAUCCCGGCCACUAUACUUUCCUGGUCUUUGAGUCCAUCCGGGUGCAUCGGCCGUGGGGAACCCUGAGGAAUCAUAGGUUCCCCAGUUAUGGGAUCUCUCUUGAAGAGUUCAAUGCCGUCCACUGGCAGCCACACUGUGUCCCAUUCUCUCAUCUUGUACCUCAUCACUGGAGCACCGUCACGCAUGCUGAAAUGAAACUGAAGAGGCUUGGAGUGGCCAAUCAGCGUUUCGGAUCCGUCCCUGAUGUAGCCUCUUACAAACCCCUUAAAGUCUGGAACCUCUGUCACAAGUGCAGCUUCAACAGUGCCUUUGAUGCAAUUUUGGAAUUCAUCGUAGAGUUGUGGGAGGGUGAGGACAUUGGAUCGCCGGAGGGACUCUGCCAGGUGACUGAACAUGGCAUCGACGUCUUCAUGAGUGUGCCCAACCAUGAGAAAGCCAAGUGUAACCAUUUCAAAUAUGCCUUUGGCAACAAGCAUCGCCAAGUACGCGAAGACGUACAUGUUUUUGUUCUCACUGCCAGCAUUGUCUGUUUGGAGCAGAAGAUGGGGUGGAAGGCCACAUCAGCCACAAGAACUUCCUUGAGAUUCUGCUUUGUUUGGAUGAGGCUGUGCAUUCACCGGGCGACCAGCCUCGCCGGAAUGGCAUGAGGCCUCACGUGAUAACCCUACAAUCUGACGGCCAACAUAUUCACUGGGAUGGCAUGGGGCCCCACGCGAUACUACAAGCCUUUUCUCCUCCUCCAGCUGAACCCUGUAUGGGGUUCGAUCGACAAGGGCCUUAUGCAAGGGUUGGCCGUUCAGCUCAGUCUGCGCACUUUGCAGAGACCUUAAGUGUUUUGCUAGGGACGCAAUCAUCAUGUUUGCACCCCCGCCACCCCAUAGAGGUACAAAGAAGUUCCCAUAGUUCUGGGCACCAUGCCCAUGAGCGAUUAUGCCAAACAGAGACACAGGCAGCUGCAUGGAUGAAGAGAUUGCCUUGGGGGCAGGAUUGAGUCGAGGUAAGCACGUCUUUUUUUGGUCCAUUUUGUCAUGGAUGAUGCAGAGGUAAGAGUCAGGUCUCUCCAUGGAGAGAAUCCUGUUAUGAUAAUAUGCAGUCCUGCAGCUUCUCUACUCGAUGUUGUGGUCGAGCCGCCUUCUAACCAACGUCUCUCGCUCUUGAGCGAUGCAAGAAUUCUUUGACAGUGCACUCGUCACACUUUGAAAAGUUGGAGUACUUUCCUAUACUCACAUCCCUGAACCUGUUGCUCCACAAUCUACUAAAUCUAAAUUGGCUCAGCUUCCUGUAGCCAUUACUCUGGAGUUCCCGAUUCACAUCUUCCAAUAUGGCCCCCUUGGUAUACAUGGAAGGGAGAACUCGUUGGGUGUCUCGUGUUCCAUCUUCCAAGAGGCGGGUUUUAUGUGGUUGCUGCUCGUUACAUGUCUCGACAAACCUCUUGAAGAUUGCCUCUCCAUAUACAACAUGACCCCUGGUUUUGUGCGUACCGUCGUUCCCAUGGACUGCCUGUUGAACCUUUUGUUCCUCGAACUCAGUUUUGAUUCUGUAGAAUGUGGUUCGAGGGACUCCAUAAAUGAUUCUCCAUGCCUUCAUGCAGACCAAACCCCUCUGGAAGACCAUGCCCCCCACCUGAUGUUCUGAAGCAUCAACAGAUGAUCGUAAUGCCUCAUACACAAAAUUGCGAGCUGCCUUCCAGGACAAUGUCUUGUAUUUUGCUCUCUCCUCUUCAAUAGCAUCCCAAUCAGCAUGUUGACAGCACCUCCUCUUGCAACAAGCAACUGUCGAGACCAUUCGAACCUCCAUCGCCAUUUUCUGCCUUUUCGGUUCGUUGCUCAGAUCCCUUUGGCUGCGCUUUAGGAAGGUGUACUUUCUUUUCCCAUGAAGAGAUGUUCUGUCAUCAGUUGUAGUGGUGUUUGAUUGUGAAUCCUUCACAUUCUCAAACACUAAGUGCCUCAAUUUCCACCGCACAAUGCUUCCAAUAGUCAGACUGUUUUCUUCUGUGUCAACAACCUCUAAAAUCGCAACUCCAAUAUCAUCCCAGCCCAAUUCUUGAUUAGCAACCGCAUCUCUUGGAUUGACAACUGUGGCUAAGCCCUCAGCUACCACCUCCCCCUCGGGGUUGUUUAGAAACACCUUUGCCUGAAUCCAUGUAGCACGGUUCUUAAGAUCCACGGAGGGAACAUGCGUCGCACUUGCGGAGGCCAUUUUGAAAGUGCAGAAAAGAAGUUAAGACCAUACAAAAAAUGAUUGGAGAAUGGCCUAAAUCAUAACAUACCAAACAACCUUAAUAGCAUGAGGCCACAUGCCAUUAUUCAAACAUGCUAUUGACACCCAUGUGAAAUUUCGCAUUCACAAAAUUGGCAUGAGGCCUCAUGCCAUCUUGAUAUACACACAGCUGCAGGCAAGUAAAAACAUACAUGACAAUACGCUAGCCAUGAAAUUGCAAGGGCCCAAGAUGGCAUGUGGCCUCAUGCCAUUUCUAAAUGUGGUCCUAAGCCAUUCCAUGGUGAACAUACCAAGAAGCACAAGUGCCGAAUAUCAAGAGGAAGCGGUAGCCACACCAAAGAUAGUGCCGCUCGCAACACCACAACUACUCGUAGCGCCGCUCGCAACACCGCAACUGCUCGUAGCGCCGCUCGCACAAACUGCCACUCGCAUAAACUGCCGCUCGCAAUGGCGCUCGCAAUGCCGCAACCGCUCGUAGACGCAUAAACCACAGCUCACAAUGCCGCUUACACAAGCAACGCUGACUGCGCUCAGCGGAACCAAGAACACGGCGCACAAAAACUAAUAGACCUAGGAAUGAGUUCGAGAAUUCAAAAAUAACACACGCUUGAAUGUCACAUCAAAUCCUCUGACAAACCAGAUCUUAUGAUUCCUCUGACAAAUUUCAAACUGAGUAGCUUCUAGACUUUGCUGUCGGACGUUGAACUUUGUCACAUCAUAUCCUUGCCUCGAUCCAGCUGUGCCAUGUCAGUGAGUCGAACUUUGCCAUGCCAUGUCAGCGAUCCGCGCCAAGAUUAUUCGCCGUGUAAAGGACUAAUUAUGCUGUGUGUGUACGUCCAUUUAUGGCAAUAUAAGGCCACACGCCAUUCAAAGAAUAAUGCUAGUCGAGCAUUUUUUGGUGCAUUUUUGGGUUCAAAAUUGCAUGAGCCCACACGCUAUAAAGUUUAUCUGUACCAAAAAUAGAAACAGCUUUAUUUACUUGGGAAUUUAAGUGGUUGAGGCAUUUUUAAACUUACAAACAUAUGCCCUACUUACAUUCCUUUGGUUGCUUAAAAUUCAAAAAUAUUAUAAACCUUUCUUUUUGCAUUUUCAAUGUUUUCAAUUAUGGUUUUUGAUUUUCGCAGGACCAGCCUAGUAAUUUAUUUGCAUCCCGUCAUGUUUAUAGCUAGCUUUCGUUUGUCCCCUUCGCUAGCCUGAGAUACAUCUGCUCGGCAUCUGCCUCUUACAGCAUUUGCCCAGAAAGGGCAUCUUUCUUCACGCAGCAUUUGCCACAUGUUUAGGGUUUAGGGUUUAGGGUUUAGGGUUUAGCAAUUCAGUAGCUUGAUAAACAUGCAAAUACAGAACUUGAUGCAAAAUCCUUUGAUAUGUCACAAUGCCCCUAGGACCAUAAACACAUUUCAAUAGAGAGGGUCCUUUCAUUUCAUAACUCCUUACGUAGAUCUUGGUGAAACCAGAGAUAGUGAAGUUAGUUUCUUGUGAUCCCGCAUCUGAUUGUGAUGUCCCUUUGCAGUGUCGAUGGAAAGGUCAAUGCACACCAAACUGUAGAAUCUUGGAGCAAAAUAACGGUCGGAUCUAUGGCAAAUGCCUCUGAAACAUUGUAAGGCUCGUGUGGUCUCAUGUGGUGUCCGAUUGAGAUGCUUCUUUGCAGGGUCAUCAAGAAAGACAUUGUAUACCAUUCUGUAAAAUCUAGUUGCGAUCUAACGGUUAGAUCUCCAGAAAACUCAAAAAAAUCUCGCGCGUGUUAGAAUAUUCUAGGAAUAUACUCCUAUGUGCCCCUAAAAAUGGCAUGCGGCCCCACGCCAUUCAAGAGAUAACGCCAGAUGACGCCGAGCAUUUUUUGGUGCAUUUUUUGGGAUCAAAAUUGCAUGAGCCCACAUGCUUGAACGUCACAUCAAAUCCUCUGACAAACCAGAUCUUAUAAUUCCUUUGACAAAUUUCAAACUGAGUAGCUUCUAGACUUUGCUGUUGGACGUUGAACUUUGUCACAUCAUGUCCUUGCCUCGAUCCAGCUGUGCCAUGUCAGUGAUUCGAACUUUGCCAUGCCAUGUUAGCGAUCCACGCCAAGAUUAUUCGCCGUGUAACUGCUCGGCAUCUGCCUCUUACAGCAUUUGCCCAGAAAGGGCAUCUUUCUUCACGCAGCAUUUGCCACAUGUUUAGGGUUUAGGGUUUAGCAAUUCAGUAGCUUGAUAAACAUGCAAAUACAGAACUUGAUGCAAAAUCCUUUGAUAUGUCAGGACUAUAAACACAUUUCAAUAGAGAGGGUCCUUUCAUUUCAUAACUCCUUACAUAGAUCUUGGUGAAACCAGAGUUAGUGAAGUUGGUUUCUUAUGAUCCCGCAUCUGAUUGUGAUGUCCCUUUGCAGUGUCGAUGGAAAGGUCAAUGCACACCAAACUGUAGAAUCUUGGAGCAAAAUAACGGUCGGAUCUAUGGCAAAUGCCCCUGAAACAUUGUAAGGCUCGUGUGGUCUCAUGUGGUGUCCGAUCGAAAUGCUUUUUUGCAGGGUCAUCAAGAAAGACAUUAUAUACCAUUCUUUAUUUAGCUGAACAUCUGGCAUUUUUGGAAAUACAAGCCAUUCAGCCUGAGCAGCCUAUGGAAGAAAUGCAGGAGGGGGAUGAGGAGCCAGAGAAAGAUAAUAAGCAGAAAGAGCAGAAGGAUGAAGAGGAGGACAAAGAAGAGGAGGACGAAGAAGAGGAGGACGAAGAGGACUUGGAUGGUCCUCACAAUGGUGACGAUCACAAUAACGACGAUGACGAUGAUGACGACGAUGGCUAGCCUGAGGUGGCCAAAGAGCAGCGGAGGAAGGUCAUACAAGACAAACCAUCAGGUAAAUAAUAGUACAUCCAUUCCUAACCUUUUACCAUUUCUAACAUUGUCCAUGUAGGUCGCAAAGCAAAUGGUAAGUAGAGAUUAUUCAGUUGAAUUAAGAUACAAACUCUAGCCUUUAGUGUCGAGGAAGGAUAGUGCCAAGCAAGGGUCGAAACGUAUGUCCAAUCCUUCAGAAUCAGCAGUGCGCCCAAGUGAUAUCGGUCCUAGUUCCUCAAUAGCAGUUGAUGGUAAAUACAGUAUAGUCGAUUCAAUGUGCUAAUGAGUUUGUUUUUAGUAGCUAGUAGGGAGGAUACCAUCUCAAUCGAAGGGAGAUAUUUGGACAUGCAUAUGGAUCCGCCAGUGGACUCUACUUGCCUGCAAGAGUCAUCAGAGCUGGUGGAGGCUACUAUCCAUAUCAACGCCAAGCAAGCUGACCACGCUCCACUUGAUGCUGCCCAUACCACUGAGUCAAUCUUGUCCACGUAUCCAACUGACGGUGACUAGGCGCCAUUGGACCCGCAUGAGGCCGCCCCAGCCACCGAGCCGGUCGUAUCCUCAUUUCCAACGGACUCAACGUGUGCCCAAUCGUUUGACUACGCGCCAUUGGAACCUCCCUACACCGCCCCUGCUGCCUGUUCGGUCAUGUCCACUUUGCCAAUGGAGGCACCAGCUGAAAUGGCGUGUGAUCACACGCCAUUGGAACCACCCCAUGCCACUGUUGAGCCAGUUGUACCAGAGUCUACAGCUAAAAUGGCAUGUGCCCACACGCCAUUGGAUGCAAUUGACCCCACAUUGCAGAGGAGAGUAUUUCCGCCCUUCACGUUUCCUCGACCAAAACCUUCUCAACGACCAUCGGGAGCACCAUUCACUAAUAUUGUAGAUGGUAAAAUUAACUUGUACCAUUUUUUAUGCUGACACAUUUCAUUUCAGAGUCAUGGCGAAGGUAUUGUAUCGUUUUUGAUCUGAACGGUGUCCUUUUCUCCCAUGAGCGUGGCUCGUCCUCAAAUGUCACUGCACCCUCCAAAGCCUGCGGUCGCAAGUUGGUCAAAAGAGACAGAUUCACAUUAAUCACACGGGAGAAACUGUGGGAUCUAAUAAUGACCAUGCAACACUUAAAACAGAGGGCCGGGUUCAAUUUGCAAUUGGGAGUUUGGACAUCCAUGAUGCGCCACAAUGCAUUAACGUUGCUACAGAUGAUGCACGAUCAGACGCGAGUAAUAUUACCAUUUGACUUUCUCCUAACGCAGGAGGAUUGCUUGACUAUGGUCCAUGUGAGGGGUAGCAAGCCCAUCUUCGUCAAGCCAGAGGCUGUAGUGAUGAACCGGACUGUUAGGUCAAGUAAAAUCCUCAUCAUCGAUGACUCGCCGAUUAAAACUGUAGCAAACCCGCACACAUAUGCAGUGCACCCCAUCUCUUGCAGUAUGGAAACUAGGGAGAAGAAACCGUAUGUUCUGGGGGACCUUGCAAAACGGCUUGAAGCGAUGGUGAUAGAGAACCGGCCAGUCCAGGAGGUGGUUGCAGAAAUCAACCAAAUGGCAGAUGGAACGGUAUAUCAGAAGCCAUUUGAUCGGACAGACACUAGUCAUCAUUUAUGGCAUGUAUAUUGUCUAGCCAAGCACUAUCCGCAUCUCCAUAAUCUGCUCAACCGGAUGGGUUCUUCGACCACUGAACAUGAGCGUGGACGUAUUAGAGAAGAGAUGGCAUUACUAUUGGGUUUAAAUCCUAAUAGUGUGGAGAGUGAUGAAAUUCCAAGAUUAUUGUAUAGGCGUUGGAGGCAAAAAAUAACAGUCUGAGAUGGCAUGUAUUUAUUUAAAAAUGUAACUUAUUAUGGCAUGGGGUUCCAUGCCAUUGUAUUAAUAUUAAAAGACAAUUCUUUGAGAGGAUUUGCAUUAUACUAGAAGUGUUACAGCAUGUUAUUAGAAGUCUACGAAGUUGUUUUAUUAAUAAGGGGAAAGUAAAGAUUGAAUGGGGACUUGGGCUCCACCUAGACUCGGAGCAACUGAGCCAAUAUUAAAAGGAUGGAAAGAAAUUGGACGACGAUGACAAGGAGAAGAGAGAGGUGAAGCAGUGGUAGGGGGAGGAGAAGUGAUUGAGUAGACAUUUCCUUGUUUAAAAUAAAAUGGCAUGUGCCUCAAUGCAGUUGAAUUUUGUUAUAUUUAUAUACUAUAUAAAGGUUUGGAAACCUUAUUUUACAAGUGGGAUAAUGACAAUUCCCACUUUAAUGAAAUAGAGCUUUUAGUCACUUAACCGCACCUCCGACCACUUGGAGGAGUCUUAUUCACAACCUCCAUAAGUCCCAGUUAGGACUUGGGGCUUGCUAGCCCCGAGAAUGGCCUCCGUGCCACUCCACCUUUGCACUUGGUCCAAGUGCUCCACGUGUCUGAUCCCAUGACCGACACCCCAAGGCACCACCAACAUACUAGCCCGUUAUGCUAGGCCAUGCCCAAUCACCUUGGUCACAUCGGUGGUCCAACACCACCUGCAUUGCAAUCCCGUCUCUCCAAGACUGGGCUAUCCGUCCAUGAGUGGUCAUCCCAGAUCCACUCCUUAGCAUCCUUAUGAUGCCCACAGACAUGGGAAAUAGCCUUCCCCAAUAUCUCCUUUUUGGUCCCCACCAAGUCCCUUUCUGUCCAUGUCCGUGUUCACCAACACUGCCACUGGAUCAAGGCCCGCAGGCCCGACCACUAAGUCCCACUAUCCUUUGGGACUUCCUCACCAUGUGACCGUAUCCUUGGUCACUGCAUUAGAGGCCUACUCCUCUUCCCUUUCACCGUUUGGGACUUUGGGACAACAUUUCGGAACACCAUGGCCUUACGUGAGCCUUAUGGGUACUCCCCCCGCCUUCCACCCUUGGGUGCUCUAGCCAUGGGCUUAGAGCGAGGUUCCGUUGAGCCACGACAGGUAUCCAAGUAGGUAGUGCCACCCACACUUGGACUGGGAGCAUCGGCCAGUCGAUCUCCCGGGGGAACUAGAGCCGGCUCUUGAACACUUCACCAAGCUACCCCGCUUGUCGGUCCAUGUUCACUCUAGUCUUGGACUUCCCAGUGGGCAGCUCAUCACCCAACACUGGGUCCGGCCUUCCUGGGCCAAACUGGCCUUUCCUGGCCAAACUGGCUCCACUGCAGUCCUCCCCCUAUUAUACUUUUGGAGCUCACCAAACCCCCCAGGGUCUGGGAGACGAACGCUUUGGGCUUUCACCCUCUCAGGCUCCAGACUCGGACUCGGACUCGGAUUCGGACUCGGACUCGGACUCGGACUCGGACUCGGGCUCGGGCUCGGUCUCGGUCUCGGUCUCGGUCUCGGUCUCGGUCCCGGUCUCGGUCUCGACUUCGGACUCCAUCUCGGACUCCAUCUCGGACUCCAUCUCGGGUCCAUCUCAGGUCCAUCUCGGACUCCAUCUCAGACUCCAUCUCGGGUCCAUCUCGGACUCCACUUCGGACUCCAACUCGGGUCCAUCUCGGGUCCACCUCGGACUCCACUUCGGAGUCCUUCUCGGACUCCAUCUCGGAUCCAUCUCGGACUCCACUUCGGACUCCAACUCGGGUCCAUCUCGGACACUCCCAUGUGUCAUGUGUUGGCCCUUUUGGGUCCCUUUUUGGAGCCUCGCCUUUUGCUCGCUUCGUGCUCGUUCCUCGAGCACUUCGUUGGGAGUUCCACUCCCGCUCUUGACUUUUCAAGUCGGAGCUUUUGGUCCAAACAUGUUACGCUCGUUUGGCUCUCGCUUUGGCCACUACCACGUGGCGCCCUUCCGGCUCCACUUUGGGGCCUAUGGAUUUUGUGUCUCACAACUCCACCACCCAUAGACGAAGUUCGAUGUCCUCAUCGAACGGUAAACCAUUUUGUAAAGUAACACUCGCAUGUGUUACCAUUUCCAUCCUUGGCACCUAGCCAAUAUUUGUCAAGAGUUUGACAUUGAAGGCUCACCAUGCCUUUUGCAUAUGCCUUAAUGGUUUGACACCAAAGGCUCACCAUGCCUUGCCUAUCCUCUAAGGAGGGUAGUCUCUCCAAUUUAGAGACUGAUUGGACCACAUGUAGUGGUUCUCUCCUUUUAUUGGUUUAGUUCUCGCUAAACCUCUUAGAGACCCUUCUCUAAGUCAAUCCCACUACUCCUUCUCGAGUAGUCUCAAUUUCCAUCGAUAUAACCUUUGCACUUUGGAACUUUGAAUUUUGACUUCUUGGAGUCAAUUUCCUAGGUGUCUCCGACACUUUGCAUUGCACAGAUUGUGCAACUCCACUUCCCUAUCCUAGGAAGUUCAUUACUUGAGGGCACCAUCAUCCUCUCUUCUAUUUCGUGCCACCUUGGGCACUAAGUUCCAUUUAUCACACUUUGUGCUAGGGUUGUCCAUCGCCCUAUCAUUUGGCUACCUUACCGCUCCCUCCCUUGGAGCUUCCACUUUCGCCAAAUCGGAGCAAUUCGGAAUCCAUCCUUGGAAACAAACCUCCUUUCCCGCAAUUUGUUAGCGUCCAACACAUUAGUGUUCCUCGCCUAACUUUGUCACUUGGAUUCCUUCCAAGGGAUUCCACGGCCCUACCUUGGCCACUCAUCUUUUGCUCCUAUCCGUUGAUUGUUGCACUAAGCAACAUCGAAUCUCUACCUCCCUCCUUGAGGUAUUCUUUUGAUUCCAUAGCAAAGGCUCUGCUUUGCCAAAACUAGGGUGUUCACCCCUAGUAAGUCUCUUCAGCAUCUUCUACUGUGGGCUCUAUCCACGGCCCAACUUUGUGACCCUCCCAUGGGUCUCUUUAGAGACUACUUUCCUUGGACACACUAUGCCAUCGCAAUGACAUAGCUCAUUUCCCUAAGGUGCUUUUCCCACUUGGUCACCUUGACCAAGCCACUGUGAGACACAAAAUCCCUAGGCCCCAAAGUGGAGCUGGAAGGGCGCCACAUGGUAGUGGCCGAAGCGAGAGCCAAACGAGCGUAACACGUUUGGACCAAAAGCUCCGACUUGAAAAGUCAAGAGCGGGAGUGGAACUCCCAACGAAGUGCUCGAGGAACGAGCACGAAGCGAGCAAAAGGCGAGGCUCCAAAAAGGGACCAAAAAGGGCCAACACAUGACACGUGGGAGUCCGAGAUGGACCCGAGAUGGAGUCCGAGAUGGAGUCCGAGAUGGAGUCCGAGGUGGACCCGAGAUGGACCCGAAAUGGAGUCCGAGAUGGAGUCCGAGAUGGACCCGAGAUGGAGUCCGAGAUGGAGUCCGAGGUGGACCCGAGAUGGACCUGAUAUGGAGUCCGAGAUGGAGUCCGAGAUGGACCCGAUAUGGAGUCCGAGAUGGAGUCCGAGAUGGACCCGAGAUGGAGUCCGAGAUGGAGUCCGAGAUGGACCCGAGAUGGACCCGAGAUGGAGUCCGAGAUGGAGUCCGAGAUGGACCCGAGAUGGAGUCCGAGAUGGAGUCCGAGAUGGAGUCCGAGAUGGAGUCCGAAGUCGAGACCGAGACCAGGACCGAGACCGAGACCGAGACCGAGACCGAGAUCGGGACCGAGACCGAGACCGAGGCCGAGGCCGAGACCGAGCCCGAGCCCGAGUCCGAGUCCGAGUCCGAGUCCGAGUCCGAGUCCGAGUUCGGAGCCUGAGAGGGUGAAAGCCCAAAGCGUUCGUCUCCCAGACCCUGGGGGGUUUGGUGAGCUCCAAAAGUAUAGUAGGGGGAGGACUGCAGUGGAGCCAGUUUGGCCAGGAAAGGCCAGUUUGGCCCAGGAAGGCCGGACCCAGUGUUGGGUGAUGAGCUGCCCACUGGGAAGUCCAAGACUAGAGUGAACACGGACCGACAAGUGGGGUAGCUUGGUGAAGUGUUCAAGAGCCGGCUCUAGUUCCCCCGGGAGAUCGACUGGCCGAUGCUCCCAGUCCAAGUGUGGGUGGCACUACCUACUUGGACACCUGUCGUGGCUCAACGGAACCUCGCUCUAAGCCCAUGGCUAGAGCACCUAAAGGCGAAAGGCGAGGAGAGUACCCAGGUGGCUCGCGUAAGGCCACGGUGUUCCGAAAUGUUGUCCCGAAGGCCCAGACUGUGGAAAGGAAGAGGAACAGUCCUUUGGGGUAGUGACCAAGGACACAGUCGUGUGGUGGGGAAGUCCCAGAGGACCGUGGGACUUAGUGGUCGGGCCUGUGGGUCUUGAUCCAGUGGCAGUGUUGGCAAACACGGCCAGGGGCAGAAAGGGACUUAGUGGGGACUGACAGAGGGAUAUUGGGGAAGGCUAUUCCCCUUGUCGGUGGGCAUCCUAAGGAUGCUAAGGAGUGGAUCUGAGAUGACCACUCACAGAUGGUUUGCCUAGUCUUGGAGAGCCAAGACUGUGAUGCAAGUGGUAUUGGACUACCAGUGUGGCAAAGGUGAUUGGGCAUGGCCUUAGCGUAACGGGCUGCUAUGUCGGUGGUACCUUUAAGUGUCGGUCAUGGGAUCGGACACGUGGAGCACUUGGACCAAGUGCAAAUGUUGAGUGGCAUGGAUGCCAUUCUCAGGGCUAGCAAGUCCCAAGUCCUGGAUUGGACUUAUGGAGGUGGUGAAUGAGACUCCUCCAAGUGGUCAGAGGUGUGGUUAAGUGACUAAAGUAGAAUGGAAAAUUUAGUCGCUUACAAUUUGGUAUCAGAGUUGUUCCUUAGUCCGACUUUUAUUGGUGCUCAAGUAUAUCACCACUAGUGUUGGCAUCGGAAGGUCUGAGGAGUGGGCCUAUCCUUGAGGAGUAGCAAGUCGGGAAGACAUGGCUCCCCAUUACAGUUCAUGUAUGAACUUGUAGACGAGGUGGUGGAUAGAAAAGGGCCAAUAAUGGAACAACUUUGGGAUCUUGGGAACAGUGCAAGGUUUUCCUCAUUGAGUUGAGGAUGUGAUCCGGAUGAGCAUUUGUCUCAGCAAAUUGGCUAAGGUUGUUGUGGUAAACAACUAAAGUUGGGAUCACGGGAAAGAUAGAGACUCCAAAACAAUAAAGGAGUCACAAGAUUAUCCUCAUAUAGUUAAGGUUGGUGCUCAUGAAUGUGAGACCAGAGGUAAUGACCAUGGGAGGUCAAAUACGGAAGAGGACUCAAGUCCUUGAAAUGGUAGCCGGGGCUACCUUUAAUAAAUGCUGGAACAACCCAAGGAGUUGGGGUGUGUAUUUAGAGAUGAGUGGUAUUCUCAUCGCAUGGACAAAUAGUCCUAAGGGGCAAAAGUUGCCUCCAGAGAACAAAAUCAAGUGUCGGAGUAACACUUGUGAAAAUAGUCCUUUUGAGUAGGACAGGAAUGCAAGAAGUGUAUUCCAGUGAGCUAGUGCCUCACAAGUAGGACCUUACGGGUCUGUGGAUUAACCAAGUCCAAAACUGCUGGAUGACUCAAGUAGAGUCAACGGAUGGUCCUAAAAGGAUUGAUGGAAGCAUUUGGACUGUGGUGUGUUGUACCCCACAAAGGAUGGGGGGGGGGAUCAUAGGAUCCAAGGAUGAGAACAGAGGGUAUCUCAUCGAUGGCAAAAUGUGCCAUGCUAAAGUUAUGGGAAAGGUGUUCCCAGAAGAAAACAACUUUGACAUAAAGUUGUGUGUGACCUCUAUGGUGCAGUGCCAACGGAUGGUUGGCAUGAGAAAGAGCGGUGUUGGUCUUGGCAAAGACUUAGACACGAAGGGGAAAUGUCAUAGAGGUAGGCUCGUGGAGCCGAUGGUGUGGAGACACCAAAUGUGCCAAGGUGUGAUACCUUGAGGCUAUGUUGGUGGGUUCAUGAGAACCCCUUGCCAAAGGAAUCCCAAUGGAAAUGGGAAUGGCAUAGCCUAAGCUGUAGAGCAUGCAGUUGGAGUGUGGUGACCCAGAUAAUGAUGGAGGUGUGAAAGCACCAAAACAAUGAGUUGUAGGACUUGACAACUAUGAGGCAACUAAGCAAGAGGUGCAAAAUAACUGGUUGAACGGGUAGAAGGUACCUACCCAAGACUUCUUAAUAGCAUAGGGAAGUCGGAUACACCCUUACGGGAGAUAAGUGCUUGUGUUGCGAUAUAGUAAGUCAAUGUCAUAAAAGGAAAUACUCAUUGUCAAGGAAGCCAUCAUUGGGACACCCGAACACUCUAGAACACCAGAAGGUGGUGUUUGAUGUCGCGAGGGCAAUGGAUAAAGCCCAAGGGACUAAGUCCCUAGCGAAUGAUGGAUAGAAGGUGCUAUCCUAAUGUCCAAGGUUGCGGAGACAGGAGAGGACUGUCUACCCGAGUUGGACAAAGCCAAAAAAAAUGGAAUUUUGGCAAGGCUAGUGAUGGGCAUGGAAAGGCCCAUAAGCAACAAUGUAAUCCCAGUGUGUGGGAUUAUAAGGUGGGCAUACCCGGAUUGAGGAACCACUCCCUGGGCUAUUGGGUAGGUUCAUCCCUAAGAAUACUUGCUAAGGCAUGAUAGAAAGUGCAAAGCUAUCCUCCUGGUCUGGAGGAAAAUGACCAAAGGAAAGGUGUGAAGCCAAAAAGCAAGAAGUAAGGGGAUAGAACCGAACCGUAGGAAUCAAAGGGCAUAACCAAGGUUGGUUAUGCCAGCUGGGAGUGGAGAAUCAAGUGGGGGCUCGAGGGUGUUGCCGCUAGCAAUCGUGAUGCCAUGGAGAGUCUAAAAUAUGAAAUUGUCCAUAUUAGACUAUGUGGCAUUUGGAAGGCUUGCAAAAAGGGAGGCCUUAGCAAGCUGAGGGACAGAGUUCCUUCAAGGUUCCCAAAGAUGAUUCUAGGUAGCUUAGUACCUAGAAAGGCCAAGUGUAAAUGGUUCAUGGAACGCGCGAAAUCAGAGUGGCGCAGCAAAAGCGUGGUCUUGAAGCUUGCCAUGAGGCAAGGCUAUCAAGGUUAGGGAAGUAGUUCCCGAGUGUUCAAAGAGAGGGCUUUGAACGAAAGUCGAUGGUCAAGGACUUUCACGCUUAUGCAGGAACCAUGUUACAGUGGUCGGAGGACUUGCCAAGCGAGAUUGGCACGUCGGGGGAACAAAUACCCUAGUUGAAGGUGAUAACUUCAUAAAGGGUGGGCCAUGGGGCCGAGCAUGGAGGAGUCCAUGCAUGAUCACAGACAUGUCAAGUGAGAGGACUUGGCAGUGUGGAGGAACUAGGUUCCUAAACUGUGAUCUGUAGCGCGCUUUAAAAAACAAGUUAGUGCACCGGCGUGGGGAGUCACGCCAGGCAUCUUGUGUGAUGCCGUCCGUAGAUGCAUAUACGGAGGUUGGGUUCGAGUCCUGACCCUCUAGUGCUUGGGUUCGAGUCCCAAAUCACUAGGGCGUGGUGAUGGUUUGGAAUAUGAGGACACUCAUAUUUCGGUGGUCAUGGACUCUCAAUGGGGAGACUGGUUUGGGCACACCGCCAAGCGAGGGAUGCCUCGGAGUCGUGAUGCACGGUUAGAUUGCUUAGUGUGAAAGCUUAGCAUAUCUAACUUGAACGCUUUGGUGCAAGUGGCACCAAGGUCGUGGUGAGUGAGAUGGGGACACAUAAUCUCAGUUGCUAUGAACCCUUGGCCGUAAGGGCUGGCUUGGGUGCACCGCCAAGUGUGGGGGAUGCCCCCGGGGUUAUAGUCAACAACUUGGAGGUCUAGAAGACCAAGUACCUCUUGGCAACUCUGUUAAGGUGCCAAGGUGAGAUCACUAGGUGAUCUUAUGGCCAGAUAAGGACAAGGUCCUUGGUUGGCUAAGGAACGAAGUUCCUAGUUCAAAAUGUUGAAAUUGAACUGUUUAAGGUGGUGUGGCUUGGUCGUGAUGACCAAGUGGGAAGAGCACCUAAGGGAAAUAAACUAUGUCCGUGCGAUGGCAUAGUGAGUCCGAGGAAAGUAGUCUCUAUAAAAGACCCAUGGGAGGGUCACGAAGUUGGGCCGUGGAUAGAACCCAUAGCAGAAGAUGCUAAAGAGACGUACUAGGGGUGCACAUCCUCCGGACUUGGCAAAGAAGAGUCUUUGCUAUGGAACCGAAACAAUACCUCAAGAAGGGAGGUAGAGAUUCGAUGUUGCUUGGUGCAACAAUCAACGGAUAGGAGCAAAAGAUGAGUGGCCAAGGUAGGGCCGUGGAAUCCCUUGGAAGGAAUCCAAGUGACAAAGUUAGGCGAGGAACACUAAUGUGUUGGACGCUAACAAGUUGCGGGAAAGGAAGUGUGUUUCCAAGGAGGGAUUCCGAAAUGCUCCGAUUUGGCGAAAGUGGAAGCUCCAAGAGAGGGAGCGGUAAGGUAGCCAAAUGAUAGGGCCAUGAACAGCCCUAGCACAAAGUAUGAUAACUGGAACUUUGGCAUGAAAUAGAAGAGAGGAUGAUGGUGCCCUCGAGUAGAGAACUUCCUAGGAUGGGAAGUGGAGUUGCACAAAAAGGUGCAAGGCAAGGUGUCGGAGACACCUAGGAAAUUGACUCCAAGAAGUCAAAAUUCAAAGUUCCAAAGUGCAAAGGUUAUAUCGAUGGAAAUCGAGACUACUCGAGAAGGAGUAGUGGGAUUGACUUAGAGAAGGGUCUCUAAGAGGUUUAGCGAGGACUAAACCAAUAAAAGGAGAGAACCACUACAUGUGGUCCAAUCAAUCUCUAAAUUGGAGAGACUACCCUCUUUAGAGGAUAAGCAAGGCAUGGUGAGCCUUUGGUGUCAAACCAUGGAGGCCUAUGCAAAAGGCAUGGUGAGCCUUCAAUGUUAAACCAUUGACGAAUAUGGAGAAGGUAUGGUGAGCCUUCAAUGUCAAACCAUUGACAAAUAUUGGCUAGGUGCCAAAGAUGGAAAUGGUAACACACGCGAGUGUUACUUUACAAAAUGGUUUACCGUUCGAUGAGGACAUCGAACUUCGUCUAUGGGUGGUGGAGUUGUGAGACACAAAAUCCCUAGGCCCCAAAGUGGAGCUGGAAGGGCGCCACAUGGUAGUGGCCGAAGCGAAAGCCAAACGAGCGUAACACGUUUGGACCAAAAGCUCCGACUUGAAAAGUCAAGAGCGGGAGUGGAACUCCCAACGAAGUGCUCGAGGAACGAGCACGAAGCGAGCAAAAGGCGAGGCUCCAAAAAGGGACCAAAAAGGGCCAACACAUGACACGUGGGAGUCCGAGAUGGACCCGAGAUGGAGUCCGAGAUGGAGUCCGAGGUGGACCCGAUAUGGAGUCCGAGAUGGAGUCCGAGAUGGACCCGAUAUGGAGUCCGAGAUGGAGACCGAGAUGGACCAGAGAUGGAGUCCGAGAAGGAGUCCGAGAUGGACCCGAGAUGGACCCGAGAUGGAGUCCGAGAUGGAGUCCGAGAUGGAGUCCGAAGUCGAGACCGAGACCAGGACCGAGACCGAGACCGAGACCGAGACCGAGAUCGGGACCGAGACCGAGACCGAGGCCGAGGCCGAGACCGAGCCCGAGCCCGAGUCCGAGUCCGAGUCCGAGUCCGAGUCCGAGUCCGAGUCCGGAGCCUGAGAGGGUGAAAGCCCAAAGCGUUCGUCUCCCAGACCCUGGGGGGUUUGGUGAGCUCCAAAAGUAUAGUAGGGGGAGGACUGCAGUGGAGCCAGUUUGGCCAGGAAAGGCCAGUUUGGCCCAGGAAGGCCGGACCCAGUGUUGGGUGAUGAGCUGCCCACUGGGAAGUCCAAGACUAGAGUGAACACGGACUGACAAGUGGGGUAGCUUGGUGAAGUGUUCAAGAGCCGGCUCUAGUUCCCCCGGGAGAUCGACUGGCCGAUGCUCCCAGUCCAAGUGUGGGUGGCACUACCUACUUGGACACCUGUCGUGGCUCAACGGAACCUCGCUCUAAGCCCAUGGCUAGAGCACCUAAAGGCGAAAGGCGAGGAGAGUACCCAGGUGGCUCGCGUAAGGCCACGGUGUUCCGAAAUGUUGUCCCGAAGGCCCAGACUGUGGAAAGGAAGAGGAACAGUCCUCUGGGGUAGUGACCAAGGACACAGUCGUGUGGUGGGGAAGUCCCAGAGGACCGUGGGACUUAGUGGUCGGGCCUGUGGGUCUUGAUCCAGUGGCAGUGUUGGCAAACACGGCCAGGGGCAGAAAGGGACUUAGUGGGGACUGACAGAGGGAUAUUGGGGAAGGCUAUUCCCCUUGUCGGUGGGCAUCCUAAGGAUGCUAAGGAGUGGAUCUGAGAUGACCACUCACGGAUGGUUUGCCUAGUCUUGGAGAGCCAAGACUGUGAUGCAAGUGGUAUUGGACUACCAGUGUGGCAAAGGUGAUUGGGCAUGGCCUUAGCGUAACGGGCUGCUAUGUCGGUGGUACCUUUAAGUGUCGGUCAUGGGAUCGGACACGUGGAGCACUUGGACCAAGUGCAAAUGUUGAGUGGCAUGGAUGCCAUUCUCAGGGCUAGCAUGUCCCAAGUCCUGGAUUGGACUUAUGGAGGUGGUGAAUGAGACUCCUCCAAGUGGUCAGAGGUGUGGUUAAGUAACUAAAGUAGAAUGGAAAAUUUAGUCGCUUACAGCCACACCAUCAUCAAUAGUUCAAAUCAACACUUUGAACUAGGAACCUUAUUCCUUAGCCCAAACAAGAACCUUGUCCUUAUUUAGCCACAAGAUCACCUAGUGAUCUCACCUCGGCACUUUAACAGGUUUGCCAAUAGGUACUAGGUCUUCCAGACCUUUAACUUGUUAACUACGACCUCGGGGGCAUCCGCCACACUUGGCGGUGCUCCCAAGCCAGCCCUUCCGGCCAAGGGUCCAUAGCAACUGAGAUUAGGUGUCCCCAUCUCACUCACCACGUCCUUGGUGCCACUUGCACCAAAGCGUUCAAGUUAGAUAUGCCGAGCUUUCACACUAAGCAAUCUAACCGUGCAUCACGACUCCGAGGCAUCCCUCGCUUGGCGGUGUGCCCAAACCAGUCUCCCCACUGAGAGUCCAUGACCACCGAAAUAUGAGUGUCCUCAUAUUCCAAACCAUCACCACGCCCUAGUGAUUUGGGACUCGAACCCAAGCACUAGAGGGUCGGGACUUGAACCCAACCUCCGUAUAUGCAUCUACGGACGGCAUCACACCGGAUGCCUG
rnacentral:lncRNA from 1 species